rnacentral:lncRNA from 1 species
GGAUUGGGAUAUUCCGACUCCUUAAGGGCCUGGCGCACAUAAGGUGUGACCUUUUCAUUCCCGUUGUUAUGGAGGGCCACAUCUGCCAGAGCCUGGAGUCUGCGAAGGCCGGGACCCGGUUCCCCGGCCCACAGUGGGGGUGUGCAAACCCGAGAGAACUGGAUUGCGUACCCACUGCAGAGUGCUGAAGACGGGGUAGCCACGAGUCAAGUCUUCACCACUUGCUGGUUCCCAGGAGUAAACUUGUUUGAACGGUGACCUAAUUGCUAUAUUCACCUAGGUUGCAAAUUCGUGAAGAAUCAGCAUCAUGUUUGGCAGCUGAGUAUUGGAGCCAGGAGCCUGCCAUGAGGUUUUGAGAACAGAGUGCUGUUUUAGAGCUGGCAGCAGCAUCUCAGCCCAAGAGAAGGUUAUAUUCCCAGAGGAUGUCAGUCCCAAGGACCAGUAGCUGCCAUCAGUUUGGAUUCUGAAAACUAACUGGCAUCAACACUGGGUGUAGAAACAUGCUUGCCUUAUGUAUCAGAGGACAUGCUCAGCAGAUCCAAGAGAUAUAUUUGGCAACUUUUUCUAGAAAAGGCACAUUGGGUAUCAUUCAUUACAUUCUUGAGUUUUUUUGGGUUUUUUUUUUUUUUUUUGAGACAGUCUUGCUGUAUUGCCCAGGCUGGAGUGUGGUGGCACAAUCACAGCUCAUUGCAUCCUCAAUCACCCAGGCCUAAGCAAUCCUCCCACCUUGUAGCUGGGACUACAGCUCACAGCACACCUGGCUAAAAUUUUUUUUUUGUUGAGACGGAUUCUCUAUGUUGCCCAGGCUGGUCUCAGGCUCCUGGGCUCAGAUGGUCCUCCUGCCUCAGCUUCCAAAGGCACAGGCCAAGUUGUAGCUUUGUCCCUUGCCAUCAUGCCCAACAAGAGGUUCUAUACCUUUUAAUGAAUUGACUUUCAUAAAUUGGUUAUGUUGGUGGGCAAAGUUCUUUAAGCUGGAAAUUGUAAAUUCCUCCUGAAAUGUUUUUUCAUGCAGUUACCAUGAACUAAUACUACAAUAAAGGAUGGUCUUGGGUGUCAAUUCUUGAAAA